rnacentral:rRNA from 1 species
UACGUAGGGUGCGAGCGUUGUCCGGAAUUAUUGGGCGUAAAGAGCUCGUAGGCGGUUUGUCGCGUCGGAUGUGAAAGCCCGGGGCUUAACCCCGGGUCUGCAUUCGAUACGGGCAGACUAGAGUUCGGUAGGGGAGAUCGGAAUUCCUGGUGUAGCGGUGGAAAUGACGCAGAUAUCAGGAGGAACACCGGUGGCGAAGGCGGAUCUCUGGGCCGAUACUGACGCUGAGGAGCGAAAGCGUGGGGAGCGAACAGG